CAUUAUGAAGCUAAAAUAGCAUUAACCUUUUAAGUUAAAGAAUGAGAAUACAAUUUCUCCAUAAUGA
rnacentral:tRNA from 1 species